rnacentral:rRNA from 1 species
AUAAAUAGCCAUAUCACACUGCAGCCCAAGACCGGUUGCCCACUGAAGCUAAGCAGGGUUGAGCCUGGUCAGUACCUGGAUGGGAGACCUCCUGGGAAAACUAGGUUGCUGCUGGAA